AAAAACAUUAUUUCUAAUAUUUUUUUGUGAAAAACAUUGCCAAGUAGCGUCCUUUCUCCAUGUUUGCAUCACAUUUGGAAACAGAAGCUGAGGAUGAGCAGUUGAUUUCACCUGUGGGUGAUGUCUGCUGACUGAUAGCCUCCUCCUGGGACAGCCUCCACCUCUCUCCACCAUUGCCUUCUCCUUCAAGCUUCUCCUGAAAGCACAUCUUUCCCCCAGCACCUUGCAGGUAGAUGCAUGUGGAAGUUCUAGGCUCAAAUGAGUAAUAAAAUGGAAGUAAGUCCUAAUGCCUGCAUGAUGGGACAACCUUUCAUGCUUCUGAAUGACUGCUGCGCCUCUCUCAGCACUUGCUUGCUCCCAAAAGCAUCAUGUGGGUCUCUGGGGUGAGAGUUGUACUGGAGCCUUGAAGACAAAUGAGACCGGUUGGGUGCCAACAGCAGUGCAAGGCGGAUGCGAGAGAAGGGCCCCUCCGAAGCCGCAGGAGGAGGAAGCCGGCAGUGCUCCUGCCGGUUCGCAGGAGCAGAGAUGUGAUUCGUGCAGCCCCUGCCCCGCUCCACCAGUCCAGCUUCCUCCUCUCCACCAGCAGACACAGAAACAGCAGGCUCAGGAGGAACACAAGCAACGGGAUAACCAACUUGGAAAAUACCUUUUGCUUCGGAGAGAGGGCUGCCAAAAGCAAAGCCCAGCUGGACAGCGUUAGCUCUGCGGGCAACUGCCUUCCCCGCCUGCCGGCAGCGAGAGGCUCCGCGUCAGCACGAACCCAGCGAGGGGAGAGAGACCGAGCUCGGGGCUGCCAGAGGGUUUGUGUUUUCCCAUACUCGAGGAGCCUGCUCUGCAGUUUUUAAGAUGUAUCAACAGCCUCACAUCACAUCGUGAUUUGGCUGCGAGUUGAGCCGAAUGUGUAUUAUCUCGGCGGGCUCAUGGUGUGCCUCUCCUCCCCGUCUAAUAUAUACGAACGUACAGAGAGAGCUUUACGGACAAGAUAAUGUGUUUUGGCUGCAUGAGAUAGUUAUGUUAUUCCUAUAGGAGAAAAAUUUAAUUUUGCUCUGAAUUCCACUAUAACCAGACAGCUCCCCAUUUAUAUCCUGGGUAAUAAAUCAAAGCAACAUGAAGUCUCGUGCACAGAACUGAAGUGGUUUCUUAAAGCAAAUUUGGCAGGAAAUAAGUCAUCAUCUUAAAAAGCCAGUCAACUCCUCAUAUCCAGUAUAUCACCAGCUCUCUGCUAAAAUCUGCAAACAGGCACGAAAAGUCAUUUUGUAAAAGAGAGAAGUCUGUGAGAUAGGCCAUAUGACUCUGUUAUCAAAAUCACACAUAUUUUUGUCAGAAAAAUCACCCCAUGAGUUCCCUUUGACUCACGGGUUUGCAGUGCUCAGGUACUCGAAUAUCACAAGGGCCAUUAGUUUGGCUUCCUACAAAAAUAAGGUCAUGUUGGUAUCACAUCUUCCCUCUGUGCUUUUCCUCUUUCUUCUUGCCUCCUCAACUGAUGUUGUUAUUUUUCUCUUAAGUUUUUUUUUUUCAACGUUCUUUUCUAGUUUCUAUUUCUAUCGUGCAAACAUGCCAUGGCAAAGCGAUGUAAGCAAUGCAUAAUAUAUUUAGAGUAAUGUAUGAUUCAUUUACUAGCUUUCAUAAUUAAUGUGGCUGUGUUUUACAUACACAGUAUUUCCUGCAUGCAUUUUAUGAUGUGAACACUCUUCAAAAUCUAAUAAAAUGUAAUCCGUUAAAAA